UGACCUUAUUCUGAGUAUCGCAGUAACUUUUUUUGUGUAUGUACUUAGCCGUACUAUAAUUAGUUGGUUUGGGUGAGAUGAUUAAAAAGGGGCUGAAGAUAAAAGGUUUCUUUUUAAUCCUCUUCCGGUGCAAGAAGUUGAUGUUUGCUUUUCUCGUGUUUGUUCUAUGUGUGAAACAAUGUUGUUCAACAAUGAGCAGGAGUUUUGUUUUGCUGAGUUGUUCUAACAACAACGACAACAACAACAACAACUAAAAGCAGGCACAGGUGUCGUAAUCUCUCUGGAUGGUUUCUUCCUCGGGAAGGAGUGACUCAAUUCUUUGGGCUGACUUGGGGCUCACACGGCACUUGCUGGGGCUGUUUUCCCGACAGAAAAUGCUAGAAGAAAUUCUGUCGACAGGUGUUGGAGCUCUGACGUGAAAGGGGGACACUCGGAUACCGCUGCGGGAGAAACUGCAGGAGGCUGCCAACACCCCUGGGACCGGGAACAGCGGGAAGAGCCCAUAGAUCUCUGAUAGGAGCCUUUUAAAGCCAUCUGUCCACUUCGAGAGAGUUGACUUGAUGAAAGGUGGACAGUUGCAAAUCCAGGGGCCCAGCAAAGCCAAACUACCAUACAUUGAAACCCCAGUGGGAGACGGCAGUUGCCAUGAACCCCUCUACGCCAUGGUCACCUUACCCCAGACAACCUGGAGGUCAGUUUGUAAAUUAAACAUUUGUAAAGCUUUA